rnacentral:rRNA from 1 species
CCUACGGGAGGCAGCAGUAGGGAAUCUUCGGCAAUGGACGGAAGUCUGACCGAGCAACGCCGCGUGAGUGAAGAAGGUUUUCGGAUCGUAAAGCUCUGUUGUAAGAGAAGAACGAGUGUGAGAGUGGAAAGUUCACACUGUGACGGUAUCUUACCAGAAAGGGACGGCUAACUACGUGCC